GACUGUGACUGUGCUGACAAACGUCUUCAUCUUCAGGUCUGUGAGGAUCCAAGUACAAAGUCCUCAGAUCCAUGGAGCGUCUCAGAGCCAUGUCCCUCUGUCCUCUGCUGCUCGUCUCCAUUCUAACAGGUGUGAGCGGUGAUGUCCUCUCUCCUCUCAGCCUGGAGCAGUCUGUCUCAGAAGGCUUCAUGGUGUCUGUGUCCUAUCAAACCUCAGCACCUACAGCAGAAGGAGAUCAUUUCUUCUUUUAUCGUCAGAAUCCUGGAGACGCUCCUCAGUUCCUCUUCUAUGUCUCUGGAAUGAACUUUUCGAGGCCGGCCGCGUCUGUCCAGUCAGACACACGACUCUCGGCUAAAGUCUCAGACAACAGACGUGGAGCUGCUCCUGUCCUCUGCUGCAGUGGGAGACUCUGCUGUGUACUACUGUGCUGUGAGGCCCACAGUGACAGGAAACACCAAAACUCUGAACAAAAACCUCUGGAGCAAAGACAACACAAUCCUGCAGUAG